rnacentral:rRNA from 1 species
AGUGAACGCUGGCGGUAGGCCUAACACAUGCAAGUCGAACGGCAGCACAGCAAGAGCUUGCUCUUACGGGUGGCGAGUGGCGGUCGGGUGAGGAAUACAUCGGAAUCUACUUUUUCGUAGGGGAUAACGUAGGGAAACUUACGCUAAUACCGCAUACGACCUACGGGUGAAAGCAGGGGAUCUUCGGACCUUGCGCGAUUGAAUGAGCCGAUGUCGGAUUAGCUAGUUGGCGGGGUAAAGGCCCACCAAGGCGACGAUCCGUAGCUGGUCUGAGAGGAUGAUCAGCCACACUGGAACUGAGACACGGUCCAGACUCCUACGGGAGGCAGCAGUGGGGAAUAUUGGACAAUGGGCGCAAGCCUGAUCCAGCCAUACCGCGUGGGUGAAGAAGGCCUUCGGGUUGUAAAGCCCUUUUGUUGGGAAAGAAAAGCAGCAGGUUAAUACCCCGCUGUCCUGACGGUACCCAAAGAAUAAGCACCGGCUAACUUCGUG